rnacentral:lncRNA from 1 species
UGGGAUAGGUUAUCCCAGUUUCAGAAAAUAUUCUAUUUCCUUGGGAAAAACACUUUACAUAACUUUAUUGUUUUAGCCUAACCAGUAACCUGGGAUGUCCAAGUCCAUCCUACCCAGUGGGGAGGCUGGGAGUACAACAAAACAUGGAGAAUUUCUGGGAAAGCCCUGGAGAAGAAACAAGGCUCCAGCUUUGCAGGCUUUGGGCUAUCCAGUUGUGGAUGUGGAUUAGGCAGAGCACCUUGGAAGCUGAGCUCAAUGUGGAAUUGGAGCAGUUUUGGAAGCACCAUGGAUACUCCCAAGCUGGUAUUCCCUGAGUGGCUGCAGGUCCCUGGAUGUGGAGGGAGGAGGUCUCUGCUGGAGACUGGAGAAAUGUCCCUGCUGGUUGCUGGGUCCUUGGUGGGCAGAGAACUCUGAUCUCAGCAAGAUGUGUUUGUGAGUAUUGAAUCACUACUACCUCCUUUUUAAU